UGAAGACAGAUUCUAAGAUUCUAUCUUCCCUAAAAACAGACACCAUCUCUUUUCAUUCUAUCUUGCCUAAAGACAGAUUCCAAUAAUUCUACCUUGCCUAAAGAUAGCUUCCCAAUUUCUUUCAGAGUGUCUAAAGCGGAUUCAAAAUAGAAGAAACAGAAAAUUUUACGGAAAGCAUCGGAAUGUCCCCAGUCUUUAGACA